ACACCNCCNCCGUCAAGCCAUGGAAGCUGGGUGUACCUAAAGUCGGUAACCGCAAGGAGCCGCCUAGGGUAAAACUAGUAACUGGGGCU
rnacentral:rRNA from 1 species